GUCCAAUACCUUAUCCUGGCAAUUCCGCCAGGCAAAAUCCAGGCCCUUCUUGGCCUUCCAGCCUCAUUUUCCCAAAAAUUGGGCGAUUUUUGGGUCCACUUCCGGGGUGGCGCAUACCAUAUCCGGGACCGUGGGGCGUGGGCAUUCUGCCCGCAGCUUGUUUCACGCCACCUUAUCCAGUGGCUUUCUGAUGCGGGCAGCGAUAAAUUUCGC